rnacentral:rRNA from 2 species
ACGACUCUCGGCAACGGAUAUCUCGGCUCUCGCAUCGAUGAAGAACGUAGCGAAAUGCGAUACUUGGUGUGAAUUGCAGAAUCCCGUGAACCAUCGAGUCUUUGAACGCAAGUUGCGCCCAAAGCCGUUAGGCUGAGGGCACGUCUGCCUGGGCGUCACG